rnacentral:rRNA from 1 species
AAGUCGAACGGUAACAUGAGAGCUUGCUCUUGAUGACGAGUGGCGCACGGGUGCGUAACGCGUAUGCAAUCUACCUAUAACUGAGGAAUAGCCCAGAGAAAUUUGGAUUAAUACCUCAUAAUAAUAUUUUUUGGCAUCAUUAAAUAUUUAAAACUCCGGUGGUUAUAGAUGAGCUUGCGUUCUAUUAGCUAGUUGGUGAGGUAAAGGCUCACCAAGGCUACGAUAGAUAGGGGGCCUGAAAGGGUGAUCCCCCACACUGGUACUGAGACACGGACCAGACUCCUACGGGAGGCAGCAGUGAGGAAUAUUGCACAUGGAGGAAGCUCUGAUGCAGCCAUGCCGCGUGCAGGAUGAAUGCCCUAUGGGUUGUAAACUGCUUUUUUACAAGAAGAAACAUUGGUACGUGUACCAAUCUGACGGUAUUGUAAGAAUAAGCACCGGCUAACUCCGUGCCAGCAGCCGCGGUAAUACGGAGGGUGCAAGCGUUAUCCGGAUUUAUUAGGUUUAAAGGGUUCGCAGGCGGAAUUUUAAGUCAGUGGUGAAAGCCUAUAGCUUAACUAUAGAACUGCCACUGAUACUGAUAUUCUUGAGUGUAGAUGAAGUGGGCGGAAUAUGUCAUGUAGCGGUGAAAUGCAUAGAUAUGACAUGGAACACCAAUUGCGUAGGCAGCUCACUAAACUAUUACUGACGCUCAUGAACGAAAGCAUGGGGAGCGAACAGGAUUAGAUACCCUGGUAGUCCAUGCCGUAAACGAUGAUCACUAGAUGUUGGCGAUAUACAGUCAGUGUUUAAGAGAAAUCAUUAAGUGAUCCACCUGGGGAGUACAUUCGCAAGAAUGAAACUCAAAGGAAUUGACGGGGGCCCGCACAAGCGGAGGAACAUGUGGUUUAAUUCGAUGAUACGCGAGGAACCUUACCAAGACUUAAAUGCAGAUUGCUAGAUUGUGAAA